rnacentral:rRNA from 1 species
GGCUAGGAGUGGAAGUGCAGCGAUGUACGGAGCGGACUAGUACUAAUCGGUCGAGGACUUAACCAAA